UACGGAGGAUGCGAGCGUUAUCCGGAUUUAUUGGGUUUAAAGGGUGCGCAGGCGGGAUUUUAAGUCAGCGGUGAAAUUUUCAGGCUCAACCUGAACACUGCCGUUGAAACUGGGAUUCUUGAGUAUGGAUGAAGUAGGCGGAAUUCGUUGUGUAGCGGUGACAUGCUUAGAUAUAACGAGGAACUCCGAUUGCGUAGGCAGCUUACUAAGCCAUAACUGACGCUCAAGCACGAAAGCGUGGGGAUCAAACAGGAUUAGAUACCCUGGUAGUCCACGCCGUAAACGAUGAUUACUAGUUGUUUGCGAUAUACCGUAAGUGACUAAGCGAAAGCGAUAAGUAAUCCACCUGGGGAGUACGCCGGCAACGGUGAA
rnacentral:rRNA from 1 species